rnacentral:tRNA from 2 species
UUCCCCUAUAGCUCAGUGGUAGAGCGGGUGGCUGUUAACCACUAGGUCGGAGGUUCAAGUCCUUCUGGGGGAGCUAA